AUUUACCGGUUCUCGUACGAACACGGAAGUUAAGCAACGUUGAGCCUGGUCAGUACCUAGAUGGAUGACUGCUUGGAAAUACUAGAUGC